UACGUAGGGUGCGAGCGUUAAUCGGAAUUACUGGGCGUAAAGCGUGCGCAGGCGGUUUUACAAGCCAGAUGUGAAAUCCCCGGGCUUAACCUGGGAACUGCAUUUGGGACUGUAAGGCUAGAGUGUGUCAGAGGGAGGUGGAAUUCCACGUGUAGCAGUGAAAUGCGUAGAUAUGUGGAGGAACACCAGUGGCGAAGGCGGCUUCCUGGACUAAAACUGACACUGAGGCACGAAAGCGUGGGUAGCAAACAGG
rnacentral:rRNA from 1 species